UACAGAGGUCCCGAGCGUUGUUCGGAUUUAUUGGGCGUAAAGGGUGCGUAGGCGGCGGAGUAAGUUGGGUGUGAAAUCCCGGGGCUUAACCUCGGAAUGGCAUUCAAUACUGCUUCGCUCGAGUACUGGAGAGGAGGCUGGAAUUUACGGUGUAGCAGUGAAAUGCGUAGAUAUCGUAAGGAAGGCCGGUGGCGAAAAGCGAGCCUCUGGACAGUUACUGACGCUGAGACGCGAAAGCGUGGGGAGCAAACAGG
rnacentral:rRNA from 1 species